AUAUACUUCCAUACAUUUCUGAGAACUUUUGGAGGCAACUGCUUCUGAGUCCAUAGUGAGUCUGUGUAUUCCGGCUAAUUGCAACGCCAGAAAACUUUGAAGUAUCGAUUGCCCAUGCUGGUUUUACGUAUUCAACUGUACUGGAGGAGCUCGCGUUUGCAUACAAGUAGUUUAGCAACACAUCUUCACAGUUGAAAAGCUUGUCCACCACGGCCCUUCCUGCUGCAGCUUCAUUGCUCCAGUACUUUUCGAAAGCCAUUUUGCUGUCCAUGAAGG
rnacentral:misc_RNA from 1 species